rnacentral:lncRNA from 1 species
UCACAAAACGUUAUCGUAAAAUAUCAUUAGUUUAAAACGAAAUUAUCAGCAUUAAGUAGCAUCACUCAAAAACUAUUUUAAACACAAUAUUCACUCCAAUAUUCCAACAUCCGAUUAAACCACACAAUUACAUCGUCACAAUUAAUUAUCCAAAGUAAUAGCAAUGAAUCAAUGGUUUCCACUAGAAUUACUAUCACCGCAUAAUCUUCUUGCAUCCAUUGGUGAAAGGGGUCCACUGUCCGCAUCACUUGGCUGCAUAAAAAAACAAAUUUAUAAAAAUCAUGCUAGAAUCAGAAAAUAUGAAUUUGUGAAUCUAGCAAUGACAAAUUUAAGAACAAUGCUGUAGAGGAUGUUCCUAUUCAAAAACAGCUGUCUGGGCUGUGAGGAAGAUAUUGAGACCAGAACACUGAUAACAAAUACACAGGGUGUACAGGGGGACCUGAAAUGUCGAUUGAUCCAGCUACAGAAGGGUGAACUAUUCAACAUCAAUAAACUCUACAGACUCCAACUCCUUCAUACCCCCAAAGUACAAUGGAAAAGCAUAGUACUGCAGCCAAAACUACACCCAAGGUUCAAAUUCAUUGUCUGGCUAGCUUUGCGUAGAUUCAUACCCCAAAGUACAAUGGAAAAGCAUAGUACUGCAGCCAGAACUACAACCACGAUUCAAAUUCAUCGUCUGACUAGCUUUGCGUAGAAGACUGGCAACAGUGGAGCGGCUAAUGCAUUUUGGAAUACAGAUUCCGCAACAAUGUGUAUUCUGCAAGCAAGUAGAUGAAUCUUUUGACCAUCUAUUUUUUACUUGCCCGACAUCAUGGGGGGUAUGAAGUAGAUGAAUCUUUUGACCAUCUAUUUUUUACUUGCCCGACAUCAUGGGGUUAUGGAAUAGAUUACUCAUAUGGCUGGUAUACCAGAGAACUAUCUGUGAUUGGAACAGUGAAGUGGAAUGGAUAAGCAACACUGCAAAAAGGAGAAACGGACUAGCGGAAAUAACCACCAGUUUGUUCGGAAUGUUAGUAUACUGUCUCUUGCGAGAAAAGAACAAGAUUAGAUUCUAAGGCGGAAACAUAGUUAUAAAUGAUACAUGCAAAGAGAUAGCGGUUCACGUGCAUACACAGGGAACAUCUCUUAAACACUGGAAGAAUAUUUUGCGAAGACCGGAUCACUACCCCUAGAAACUAUAUUUCUUGAAAUUGAAUGUAUUUAUAGCAUAUGAUAGUGAUAUCAUAUUAGACUGAGUGGGAUAGUAGCUAGUCAGCGGCUACUGGAUAAAUCUGUAUUAUUCUGAUCUAUUGAUGAAAUAUAAAUUAAUUUAAAAAAAAUGACAAAUUUCUCAAUGCUUCUGCUGUUUAAUUUCUUCAGGAUUAUAAUGUUAUAUAUCACUUUUAAUCAAAAAAACAUACAAGAGUAGUACUAAUCUAAGCCACUUCAUCUUUGUAAAUAAACAAAUUAAAGUGAAAAUUUUGAAGAACUUUACUUACCGUUGUAGGAGAAACGUCGAAGGAGAAGCAAAGAACCCCGCAAACUGUUAUGGUAUAGUCACUUAUUUCAUUAUCAUAUAUGCCUAAAAGGCUUUCAUCAUUUGAUUGUGAGCAUUUUUCAUUUGAUUAUGGCUAUGUCGACAUUGGGACGAACAUGAACCUUCAGUACUUGAAGAACUUGUACAAACAAAACGAGGCCUUACUUGUUUAAAAACUUUACUAGGGACAACUUUACUAGGGACAGGGCCUAAUCCCAAACACCUCAUCAUUUCAGAGUGCUCUUUUCCUAGCACCUUACCAACGGCAUAAUUUGGCGAAAUUUGAGACUAAUCUAUGAUGCUUUGGCUCAAAACUAACUCAAUUUCUUCCUACACGUACAAAACUCAUUGUCACAACUAAACCAACAGGAAUGCAUUUAUCUAGUGUCAAAAUAUACAUAUCUUAAUCCACAGAUGUGGUACAACUGUGGUACUCUAUGAAAUAAAGCUGGAGCAGAUAAAAUCUUCAUUCAUCUCACAUAUUGUGACCAUAGCUCGUCUCUUGAUUACACAAGGCAAGAGUUGAACAUCUUUUAUUUGAUUAUACAAAAACAUUACUCCAUUUGACAAUGAAUUUGAGAGAGUACUUUAAAGCCGCUGAAAUAAGGUUACAAAUUUGAGAGUAAAAAGCAUUAUUUUAUUUCAAAUAUCACUCGGAAAAAGUUUUUCAAUAACAAUGAGUCUUUGCAAAUGCUCUCUUUCAAUAUACUCUCUUUAUUUGUUCCUGCAAGACUUCAAGUUUUCAACGAUAACAAAUAGUACUAUUAUCAUUGCUAUGUUGAACUCCUGUGUGCAGGGUAAAAGAUUUCUAAGAAAAUAAUUGUGAAGGAAAAUUUACCACAUUUUUGCUCAACACCAAAUCUUAUAAUCACGAUACACCCAUAUAAAUCCACAUACAAUAUAGUGUAAAAAUUUAUAUUAUUUACUAAUUCAACAAAAAAUCUCUAAUAAAUAGAGAAAAUCAAAACCUAACAUACAGUAUCCAAAAAAACAGCAAAAAUAAAAUUAAAGCCACAUGAAAUAGAAAACAUAAAAAGUUACAGAUUAUACAAACCCAAAAAUGGGGAAGAUGAAAGACCCAUUUGUAGAAAUAACAUUGCACUAAUCCAAAAAUAGGGUAGAAGAACUUAUUGUAGUUGAAGAUACUUGUCGAUUACUAUGCCCGAGUGAGUGAUUGAGAUGCCUUUGCCACAGCUAAUGGAGGAAACGCGAUGAAAAUCAAAGAAAAAAGAGGGGAAAACGAGGAAUUUAGUUCAAAUCUUACAAAUGGAAUGAAAAAUUCACACAAAACUUUCAAUUCUAAGAAAACUAAAGUAGAAAGAAUCAUGAAAUUUGAGUUAAUCUCUCAAAAUUGAGACUUUACCUUGAGUCUGUGGAAAAACGUAAGAAGUGCCGGAGCUUUUUGAGGGUUUACUAUAUUUGUAUUCUUUUCAAGAGAAAAAAAUGAAGGAAAGAAAAAUAAGCGUGGGAAAUAUUAGCGCGCUAUUUUUUUGGCAGAUGGUGUAGGUUUAGAGAAGCCGCUAUUUGCUUA